UAUCUCUGUAGAGUCUGCAUAUCAAUAAGCGGAGGAAAAGAAACUAACUAAGGAUUCCCUCAGUAACGGCGAGUGAAGCGGGAAGAGCUCAAAUUUGAAAUCUUCAAGGUUCUACCUUGACGAAUUGUAGUUUAAAGAAGUGUUUUCUGUUGAAGUUUUGGUAAAAGUUCUUUGGAAUAGGACAUCAUAGAGGGUGAGAAUCCCGUAUUUGACCAUUAUUUUCCAGCUGUGUGAUACACUUUCAAAGAGUCGGAUUCGUUUGGGAAUGCAGUCCAAAAUGGGUGGUAAAUUUCAUCUAAAGCUAAAUACUGGCGAGAGACCGAUAGCGAACAAGUACCGUGAGGGAAAGAUGAAAAGAACUUUGAAAAGAGAGUUAAACAGUACGUGAAAUUGUCAAAAGGGAAGCGUUUGACACCAGUGUUGUUUUCUCGAAAAUCAAUUAAAAAUGGCGGGAUUUUGUGUUGUAUUGACCUUUAUCAAGCUUUCUUCACUUUUUUCCUGUCUUUUUUAAUGCACUUUUCGUUUAACAAGUCAGCAUCAGAUUCUUUUGUUGUAAAAGGGUCAUUGGAAGGUGCCUUUCUUUUCGGAGAAAGUGUUUAUAGCCUUUGACUUCUGCAAUCGGAGAGAUUGAGGUCUGCAGCGUAGAUCCUUCGGGGUUAGAUACAUUUGUGCUAAGCUAUAGCCUUUCAUAGACAACUUGUUGACUAUGAUCAGUCAUGUAGCUUACUCGCUUAUGUCAUUUUACCUACGCUUAGGAUGUUGAGUAGCGACAUACGCAC
rnacentral:rRNA from 1 species